rnacentral:rRNA from 1 species
UACGAAGGGGGCUAGCGUUGUUCGGAUUUACUGGGCGUAAAGCGCACGUAGGCGGCUCUUUAAGUCAGAGGUGAAAUCCCAAGGCUCAACCUUGGAACUGCCUUUGAUACUGGGGAUCUUGAGUCCGGGAGAGGUGAGUGGAACUGCGGGUGUAGAGGUGAAAUUCGUAGAUAUUCGCAAGAACACCAGUGGCGAAGGCGGCUCACUGGCCCGGUACUGACGCUAAGGCGCGAAAGCGUGGGGAGCGAACAGG